CUAACUUCGCCGCGAGCCAGAACACAUCUGACGAUGUGCGGGAAUCCGGUGAGAAUCCGGAGCUGACGCGCAGCGGUGAGAGUGACUGGUGGGACGACGCACCACUGGGCCCGUGGCCUGGGAAGGUGUCCCACCGGGACGAACUCGAGUCCGAAGACCGGCUGGCUCGCCUGACCGAUG
rnacentral:ncRNA from 2 species